CCUACGGGAGGCAGCAGUGAGGAAUAUUGGUCAAUGGACGAGAGUCUGAACCAGCCAAGUAGCGUGAAGGAUGACUGCCCUAUGGGUGGUAAACUUCUUUUAUAUGGGAAUAAAAUGUUCCCCGUGUGGGAUUUUUUAUGUACCAUAUGAAUAAGGAUCGGCUAACUCCGUGCCACCAGCCGCGGUAAUACGGAGGAUCCGAGCGUUAUCCGGAUUUAUUGGGUUUAAAGGGAGCGUAGGUGGAUUGUUAAGUCAGUUGUGAAAGUUUGCGGCUCAACCGUAAAAUUGCAGUUGAAACUGGCAGUCUUGAGUACAGUAGAGGUGGGCGGAAUUCGUGGUGUAGCGGUGAAAUGCUUAGAUAUCACGAAGAACUCCGAUUGCGAAGGCAGCUCACUGGACUGCAACUGACACUGAGGCUCGAAAGUGUGGGUAUCAAACAGGAUUAGAUACCCCAGUAGUC
rnacentral:rRNA from 1 species